AAACCAACUGGGAUUACCUUAGUAACGGCGAGUGAAGCGGUAAAAGCUCAAAUUUGAAAUCUGGUACUUUCAGUGCCCGAGUUGUAAUUUGUAGAAUUUGUCUUUGAUUAGGUCCUUGUCUAUGUUCCUUGGAACAGGACGUCAUAGAGGGUGAGAAUCCCGUUUGGCGAGGAUACCUUUUCUCUGUAAGACUUUUUCGAAGAGUCGAGUUGUUUGGGAAUGCAGCUCAAAGUGGGUGGUAAAUUCCAUCUAAAGCUAAAUAUUGGCGAGAGACCGAUAGCGAACAAGUACAGUGAUGGAAAGAUGAAAAGAAUUUUGAAAAGAGAGUGAAAAAGUACGUGAAAUUGUUGAAAGGGAAGGGCAUUUGAUCAGACAUGGUGUUUUUGCAUGCACUCGCCUCUCGUGGGCUUGGGCCUCUCAAAAUUUCACUGGGCCAACAUCAAUUCUGGCAGCAGGAUAAAUCAUUAAGAAUGUAGCUACUUCGGUAGUGUUAUAGCUUUUUGGAAUACUGUUAGCCGGGUA
rnacentral:rRNA from 1 species